UCAGGAUGAACGCUGGCGGCGUGCCUAAUACAUGCAAGUCGAGCGAACAGACGAGGAGCUUGCUCCUCUGACGUUAGCGGCGGACGGGUGAGUAACACGUGGAUAACCUACCUAUAAGACUGGGAUAACUUCGGGAAACCGGAGCUAAUACCGGAUAAUAUAUUGAACCGCAUGGUUCAAUAGUGAAAGACGGUUUUGCUGUCACUUAUAGAUGGAUCCGCGCCGCAUUAGCUAGUUGGUAAGGUAACGGCUUACCAAGGCAACGAUGCGUAGCCGACCUGAGAGGGUGAUCGGCCACACUGGAACUGAGACACGGUCCAGACUCCUACGGGAGGCAGCAGUAGGGAAUCUUCCGCAAUGGGCGAAAGCCUGACGGAGCAACGCCGCGUGAGUGAUGAAGGUCUUCGGAUCGUAAAACUCUGUUAUUAGGGAAGAACAAAUGUGUAAGUAACUAUGCACGUCUUGACGGUACCUAAUCAGAAAGCCACGGCUAACUACGUGCCAGCAGCCGCGGUAAUACGUAGGUGGCAAGCGUUAUCCGGAAUUAUUGGGCGUAAAGCGCGCGUAGGCGGUUUUUUAAGUCUGAUGUGAAAGCCCACGGCUCAACCGUGGAGGGUCAUUGGAAACUGGAAAACUUGAGUGCAGAAGAGGAAAGUGGAAUUCCAUGUGUAGCGGUGAAAUGCGCAGAGAUAUGGAGGAACACCAGUGGCGAAGGCGACUUUCUGGUCUGAACUG
rnacentral:rRNA from 1 species